rnacentral:rRNA from 1 species
CCUACGGGAGGCAGCAGUGGGGAAUCUUGCACAAUGGGGGCAACCCUGAUGCAGCGACGCCGCGUGAGCGAUGAAGCCCUUCGGGGUGUAAAGCUCUUUCGGUAGGGAAGCGGUACCUACAGAAGCAGCUGCGGCUAACUACGUGCCAGCAGCCGCGGUAAUACGUAGGCAGCAAGCGUUGUUCGGAGUUACUGGGCGUAAAGGGUGUGUAGGCGGCUUUCUAAGUUUGUUGUGAAAUCUCCCGGCUUAACCGGGAGGGUGCGGCGAAGACUGGAAGGCUAGAGUAUGGGAUGGGAGAGUGGAAUUCCUGGUGUAGCGGUGAAAUGCGUAGAUAUCAGGAGGAACACCUGCGGUGUAGACGGCUCUCUGGACCAUACUGACGCUGAGACACGAAAGCGUGGGUAGCAAACAGGAUUAGAUACCCUUGUAGUC